AGAACUUAGCAGAGAUGCUUUGGUGCCUUCGGGAACUCUGAGACAGGUGCUGCAUGGCUGUCGUCAGCUCGUGUUGUGAAAUGUUGGGUUAAGUCCCGCAACGAGCGCAACCCUUAUCCUUUGUUGCCAGCGGUCCGGCCGGGAACUCAAAGGAGACUGCCAGUGAUAAGCUGGAGGAAGGUGGGGAUGACGUCAAGUCAUCAUGGCCCUUACGAGUAGGGCUACACACGUGCUACAAUGGCGCAUACAAAGAGAAGCGACCUCGCGAGAGCAAGCGGACCUCAUAAAGUGCGUCGUAGUCCGGAUUGGAGUCUGCAACUCGACUCCAUGAAGUCGGAAUCGCUAGUAAUCGUAGAUCAGAAUGCUACGGUGAAUACGUUCCCGGGCCUUGUACACACCGCCCGUCACACCAUGGGAGUGGGUUGCAAAAGAAGUAGGUAGCUUAACCUUCGGGAGGGCGCUUACCACUUUGUGAUUCAUGACUGGGGUGAAGUCGUAACAAGGUAAGCGUAGCGAG
rnacentral:rRNA from 1 species